UACGGCCACAUCACGUUGAAACACCCGUUCCCGUACGAAAUCACUGAAGUUAAGCAACGUAGAGCGUGGUUAAUACUUCGAUGGGUGACCGCUAGGAUAUACCAGGUGCUGUAAG